UUCAAAUUCAUGUUACAAUAGGUCAAUCCAUAGCAAUGCUAGGGUUGGUGCAUGUCUAAAAUACUGAAACUGCUUCUGUUUUGAUAUGUGCUUAAUGAUGUUUAGAUAUAUUGGUUAAAUAGAUUUUAUACUAAGACUAGUUUGCUGUGGACAAUGGCGUUUCUAAGUACAGUUAUUAAUUAAGAGACAGGAACAAUUCAUAAUGUGCAUUUUAAGUAAUCACUUGGAGAAGUCCUCAUAGGCUCCUUUAUUCCUUUCUUGCCUACAAUGAAGUCCCAUCUUUCUUUUGAAAACUGUUAAUUUAUUGAAAUGGACCUAUGCACACAAAUGGCUACCUUCCGAAUUCCAUCAUAUCAUAAAUCAAAUACAACAACUCUUUCUUUUUGAUAAAUCAAUCCUUGGAUUUCAAUGCUUCUAAGCAGUUAUGAUAUAGGUUGUUCCUUCCUGAAAUAUGUUUUUGCUCGAGUUGUGUUUCUCUGACUUUGUAGUGAGGCUGUCUUGAUGACCAAUGACUUGAUAUUUUUGACUUAUAAUUUGUUGGCUUAUACUUUGUAGCUCCAAGAUACCAAAAUAACAACUGGAGAAACAGAGGUGAAAUUCCAGGUUUCUAGAGAUACACUGGCUUCCAUGUUGAGAUCAAUGGCAUAUAUCCGUGAGCAAUUAUGACACCAGUUUUGCUGAGCACUUCAUUCUAAUGAUGAAUCAUGUAAGCAAAGGGUAUAGUGAGUGAGAAUUUCUUUUGGCAAGGUGAGCUUAAAUCGGCUUCACAAAGCUGGCAGCAUUAGAGGCACCAAGGGCGUAAUCCCUUUCAGUUGAUACACCAUUGUGUAUUAUACAAAUGUUACGUUGACAUAGUUUGGAUGUAGAUGUAGUUAGGUAUGGGAUUUCUAUUUUAUUGAGCGAACUUGGUUUAGCUGAGUCUAUUCUUAUCUCUAACUUCUAGAUAGUGCAAGAUUCGCUUUACCUAUGUGCUGGAAAAUCUAUUUGUACAUGUAAGUUUCCAACACAUAUUUACUGAUUGAGCAUUGCAUAUAUGUUGUAUUUAAACUUGGAACAUAGUGCCUCUUUCUAUGUUUUGAA